rnacentral:rRNA from 1 species
AUUGAACGCUGGCGGCAGGCUUAACACAUGCAAGUCGAGCGGAGAUGAGGUGCUUGCACCUUAUCUUAGCGGCGGACGGGUGAGUAAUGCUUAGGAAUCUGCCUAUUAGUGGGGGACAACAUUCCGAAAGGAAUGCUAAUACCGCAUACGUCCUAUGGGGGAAAGCAGGGGAUCUUCGGACCUUGCGCUAAUAGAUGAGCCUAAGUCGGAUUAGCUAGUUGGUGGGGUAAAGGCCUACCAAGGCGACGAUCUGUAGCGGGUCUGAGAGGAUGAUCCGCCACACUGGGACUGAGACACGGCCCAGACUCCUACGGGAGGCAGCAGUGGGGAAUAUUGGACAAUGGGGGGAACCCUGAUCCAGCCAUGCCGCGUGUGUGAAGAAGGCCUUAUGGUUGUAAAGCACUUUAAGCGAGGAGGAGGCUACUGAGACUAAUACUCUUGGAUAGUGGACGUUACUCGCAGAAUAAGCACCGGCUAACUCUGUGCCAGCCGCCGCCGUAAUAC